rnacentral:rRNA from 1 species
UCCGUAGGCGGUGCGGCAAGUCGAUAGUGAAAUCUCUGGGCUUAACUCAGAGGCUGCUAACGAAACUGCCGUGCUAGAGUGUGAGAGAGGCGAGUGGAAUUACGGGUGUAGCGGUGAAAUGCGUAGAUAUCCGUAGGAACAUCCGAGGCGAAAGCGGCUCGCUGGAUCACAACUGACGCUGAGGGACGAAAGCUAGGGGAGCAAACAGGAUUAGAUACCCUGGUAGUCCUAGCCCUAAACCAUCAGGACUUGGGGUUUGCCCUGUACGGGGCAAGUCCCGUAGCUAACGCGUUAAGUCCUGCGCCUGGGGAGUACGGUCGCAAGGCUGAA